CUCACCUGUGUUCUGCAGCAGAGUCCCUCUUUCUCUUGUCUGUCCUCCUGGACUCUGUGUCUGACGCCCCCUGCUGGACGCUUUCAGAAGUAGACACACCCCCUUUAGGGGCUCUGGUCUUCUCUUCUUCCUCAUCUGGAUCAGAGUGCUCUGGAUACUCCAUCC